GCCCCCAUCGUCUAGUGGACUAGGACGCGGCCCUUUCAAGGCCACGACCGGGGUUCGAAUCCCCGUGGGGGCA
rnacentral:tRNA from 4 species